CUAAUGUGUUUUCCUGUUAUUUUCUUGAUAAUCAAUGUAGAAACUCAAUUUUACAAGGCGGCCUGCAAGAGACUGACAAACUGAAGGGUCAGUUCCAAAAUGUGCAUGUUCCUCUGGAAGUCUUUGAGUACAUUGAUGAAGGCAGAAACCCUCAGCUGUACACCAAAGUGUUAUGUACGCGUCUUGUGGGUUUCCCCCGCCGACCGGUAGAUGUCCCUUUUCCCCGGCCGAGCCCACCGCGGUCAGUCUAGUUUAAGCCUCGCUGGUACUCGGUGGCGUCUAACGCAUCUGGCUCUCCGUGGAAUACAAUUACGUCGAUCGCUAUCGACGACUAAGAUUGCAUGGAAAAAGCUUAAAACAAAAAUGAACAAGUCAAAGGAAAGACUGAUUCAUACAGAAUGUUUAAAGCUCACUUGUUGGAGGAACUCAGCCAAGUGUUUCCAAAUGAGACCAUGAAAUAUCGUAUUGCCAGAGGAGAUGACAUCAACAGCAUUCCAUAGUUAUAAAUUUGAAUACUGUAAUCGAAAUCGUUGGGGGUUGAGAGUUCUGGAUGUAAAAUUGUCAUUAAAUGUUGGGUCCUGCUGCUCAAAAAUGUAAUAUACCAUUUACAUAACAA